UGGGGAAUUUUGGACAAUGGGCGAAAGCCUGAUCCAGCAAUGCCGCGUGUGUGAAAAGGCCUUCGGGUUGUAAAGCACUUUUGUCCGGAAAGAAAUCCUUGGCUCUAAUACAGUCGGGGGAUGACGGUACCGGAAGAAUAAGCACCGGCUAACUACGUGCCAGCAGCCGCGGUAAUACGUAGGGUGCAAGCGUUAAUCGGAAUUACUGGGCGUAAAGCGUGCGCAGGCGGUUUGCUAAGACCGAUGUGAAAUCCCCGGGCUCAACCUGGGAACUGCAUUGGUGACUGGCAGGCUAGAGUAUGGCAGAGGGGGGUAGAAUUCCACGUGUAGCAGUGAAAUGCGUAGAGAUGUGGAGGAAUACCGAUGGCGAAGGCAGCCCCCUGGGCCAAUACUGACGCUCAUGCACGAAAGCGUGGGGAGCAAACAGGAUUAGAUACCCUGGUAGUCCACGCCCUAAACGAUGUCAACUAGUUGUUGGGGAUUCAUUUCCUUAGUAACGUAGCUAACGCGUGAAGUUGACCGCCUGGGGAGUACGGUCGCAAGAUUAAAACUCAAAGGAAUUGAC
rnacentral:rRNA from 1 species